AGUGAACGCUGGCGGUAGGCCUAACACAUGCAAGUCGAACGGCAGCACAGUAAGCGCUUGCUCUUACGGGUGGCGAGUGGCGGACGGGUGAGGAAUACAUCGGAAUCUACUUUUUCGUGGGGGAUAACGUAGGGAAACUUACGCUAAUACCGCAUACGACCUACGGGUGAAAGCAGGGGAUCUUCGGACCUUGCGCGAUUGAAUGCGCCGAUGUCGGAUUAGCUAGUUGGUGGGGUAAAGGCCCACCAAGGCGACGAUCCGUAGCUGGUCUGAGAGGAUGAUCAGCCACACUGGAACUGAGACACGGUCCAGACUCCUACGGGAGGCAGCAGUGGGGAAUAUUGGACAAUGGGCGCAAGCCUGAUCCAGCCAUACCGCGUGGGUGAAGAAGGCCUUCGGGUUGUAAAGCCCUUUUGUUGGGAAAGAAAAGCAGCAGGUUAAUACCCCGCUGUUCUGACGGUACCCAAAGAAUAAGCACCGGCUAACUUCGUG
rnacentral:rRNA from 1 species